AAUAGAUACCCGGGUAGUCCACGCCGUAAACGAUGAAUGCUAGGUGUUAGGGGUUUCGAUACCCUUGGUGCCGAAGUUAACACAUUAAGCAUUCCGCCUGGGGAGUACGGUCGCAAGACUGAAACUCAAAGGAAUUGACGGGGACCCGCACAAGCAGUGGAGUAUGUGGUUUAAUUCGAAGCAACGCGAAGAACCUUACCAGGUCUUGACAUCUGAAUGACCGGUGUAGAGAUACACCUUUCCUUCGGGACAUUCAAGACAGGUGGUGCAUGGUUGUCGUCAGCUCGUGUCGUGAGAUGUUGGGUUAAGUCCCGCAACGAGCGCAACCCUUGAUCUUAGUUGCCAGCAAUUCGGUUGGGCACUCUAAGGUGACUGCCGGUGACAAACCGGAGGAAGGUGGGGAUGACGUCAAAUCAUCAUGCCCCUUAUGACCUGGGCUACACACGUACUACAAUGGCUGGUACAACGGGAAGCGAAGUCGCGAGAUGGAGCGAAUCCUAUAAAAGCCAGUCUCAGUUCGGAUUGCAGG
rnacentral:rRNA from 1 species